rnacentral:rRNA from 1 species
AUUGAACGCUGGCGGCAGGCCUAACACAUGCAAGUCGAACGAGUGGCGGACGGGUGAGUAAUGUCUGGGAAACUGCCCGAUGGAGGGGGAUAACUACUGGAAACGGUAGCUAAUACCGCAUACCAUCGGAUGUGCCCAGAGGGGAUUAGCUAGUGGGUGGGGUAACGGCUCACCUAGGCGACGAUCCCUAGCGGGUCUGAGAGGAUGACCAGCCAGACUGGAACUGAGACACGGUCCAGGCUCUUAGGGGAGGGCGCAGUGGGGAAUAUGGGCCAAUGGGCGAAAGCGUUGUGCAGCCAGGCCGGGUGUGUGAAGAAGGCCUUCGGGUUGUAAAGUACUUUCAGCGAGGAGGCGUUACUCGCCGAAGAAGCCCCGGCUAACUCCGUGCCAGCAGCCGCGGUAAUUC